rnacentral:tRNA from 1 species
GGUUUUAUAGUUUAAUAAAAAUAUUAAAUUGCAAAUUUAAUGAUAAAAAUUUUUUUAAAACCU